rnacentral:rRNA from 1 species
CCAUCGACGAAAGUUGACUUCCGCAAGGACACUCGUAGAGGUGCUGCAUGGCUGUCGUCAGCUCGUGUCGUGAGAUGUUGGGUUAAGUCCCGCAACGAGCGCAACCCUUGUCUGCUGUUGCCAUCAGGUAAUGCUGGGCACUCUGCAGAGACUGCCGGUGAUAAACCGGAGGAAGGUGGGGAUGACGUCAAGUCAGCAUGGCCUUUAUGUCUGGGGCUACACACGUGCUACAAUGGCCGAUACAAACCGUCGCAAAACCGCAAGGUGGAGCUAAUCGGAGAAAAUCGGUCUCAGUUCGGAUUGUAGGCUGCAACUCGCCUGCAUGAAGUUGGAAUCGCUAGUAAUCGCGGAUCAGCACGCCGCGGUGAAUACGUUCCCGGGCCUUGUACACACCGCCCGUCACAUCACGAAAGCCGGUUGUACUAGAAGUCGCCACAUCAACCCGCAAGGGAGAGAGGCGCCUAAGGUAUGGUCGGUGAUUGGGGUGAAGUCGUAACAAGGUAGGCGUAGAUGA